AUUGAACGCUGGCGGCAGGCCUAACACAUGCAAGUCGAACGCGUGGCGGACGGGUGAGUAGUGUCUGGGACACUGCCUGAUGGAGGGGGAUAACUACUGGAAACGGUAGCUAAUACCGCAUACCAUCGGAUGUGCCCAUAUGGGAUUCGCUAGUAGGUGGGGUAAAGGCUCACCUAGGCGACGAUCCAUAGCUGGUCUGAGAGGAUGACCAGCCACACUGGAACUGAGACACGGCCCAGACUCCUACGGGAGGCAGCAGUGGGGAAUAUUGCACAAUGGGCGCAAGCCUGAUGCAGCCAUGCCGCGUGUAUGAAGAAGGCCUUCGGGUUGUAAAGUACUUUCAGUGGGGAGGCGUUACCGGCAGAAGAAGCACCGGCUAACUCCGUGCCAGCAGCCGCGGUAAUUC
rnacentral:rRNA from 1 species